UAAGGAAUAUUGGUCAAUGGACGCAAGUCUGAACCAGCCAUGCCGCGUGAAGGAUGAAGGUCCUCUGGAUUGUAAACUUCUUUUAUGUGGGAAGAAAUCACUCUUUUCUAAGGGUGUUGACGGUACCAUAGGAAUAAGCACCGGCUAACUCCGUGCCAGCAGCCGCGGUAAUACGGAGGGUGCAAGCGUUAUCCGGAUUCACUGGGUUUAAAGGGUGCGUAGGCGGAAUUGUAAGUCCGUGGUGAAAUCUCCAAGCUUAACUUGGAAACUGCCGUGGAUACUAUAGUUCUUGAAUGUUGUGGAGGUUUGCGGAAUAUGUCAUGUAGCGGUGAAAUGCUUAGAUAUGACAUAGAACACCGAUUGCGAAGGCAGCAGGCUACACAAAUAUUGACGCUGAGGCACGAAAGCGUGGGGAUCAAACAGGAUUAGAUACCCUGGUAGUCCACGCCCUAAACGAUGAUUACUCGACAUACGCGAUAUACAGUGUGUGUCUGAGCGAAAGCAUUAAGUAAUCCACCUGGGAAGUACGACCGCAAGGUUGGAACUCUAAAGUGAAUUG
rnacentral:rRNA from 1 species